UACAGAGGGGGCAAGCGUUAUUCGGAAUUAUUGGGCGUAAAGGGCGCGUAGGCGGCUUGGCAAGUGGAAGGUGAAAUCCCUCGGCUUAACCGAGGAACUGCCCUCCAAACUGCUUUGCUUGAGGCCGGGAGAGGUGAGUGGAAUUCCCAGUGUAGCGGUGAAAUGCGUAGAUAUUGGGAGGAACACCAGUGGCGAAGGCGGCUCACUGGACCGACACUGACGCUGAUGAGCGAAAGCCAGGGGAGCAAACGGG
rnacentral:rRNA from 1 species